GGUUACUUUUUGAAUUUUUUGCAUAUGCAUUUUUCAACUCAAUUGCCCAAAGAAGUGGUUUUAUAUGAGAGUGGUGGUGGUACCACGUGAAAGUUCUAUGAUUCCAACCUAAUUCUGCUGACCCCAUUUUUUAAUCUCCAAGCACAGAUAGCAAGAGAGAAAAGAAAGAAAGAAAGAAACAGAGAGAAAGAUGGAAGCUCCAGCUCCACAAGCCAUAGAAGUCAGUAGCAAGAACCUUGGUGUAGAAGAAGAUGAGCAAGAUAAAGCUGUGAAUGAGUGUUGUUCUUGCUGUUAUGACUGCUCGGAAAGCUGGUUUGAAUAUUUGUGCUGUUGGGAUGAUUGUGAGUGCUAGAUGAACAUAAUUGGGAUUUUCAACAUCAAGAAUGUGUUCUUUUAACUUGUCUUUAACCCUCACUCUCUUCUCCAUAUACUUGUUGCUCCUUCGAUUAUCAAAUACACCCUUCAUUUUCUUCUUA